rnacentral:rRNA from 1 species
GACGGGGGGGGCAAGGUGUUCUUCGGAAUGACUGGGCGUAAAGGGCACGUAGGCGGUGAAUCGGGUUGAAAGUGAAAGUCGCCAAAAAAGUGGCGGAAUGCUCUCGAAACCAAUUCACUUGAGUGAGACAGAGGAGAGUGGAAUUUCGUGUGUAGGGGUGAAAUCCGUAAAUAUACGAAGGAACGCCAAAAGCGAAGGCAGCUCUCUGGGUCCCUACCCGACG